rnacentral:rRNA from 1 species
UACGUAGGGACCAAGCGUUGUUCGGAUUUACUGGGCGUAAAGGGCGCGUAGGCGGCGAAUCAAGUCAGCUGUGAAAUCUCCGAGCUUAACUCGGAACGGUCAGCUGAUACUGUUUUGCUAGAGUGCAGAAAGGGCAACCGGAAUUCUUGGUGUAGCGGUGAAAUGCGUAGAUAUCAAGAGGAACACCUGAGGUGAAGGCGGGUUGCUAGGCUGACACUGACGCUGAAGCGCGAAAGCUAGGGUAGCAAACGGG